GUUUCCCGUCAGCCAGUCGAUUGCCAUCUGCUCCACGUCUGGAAAAGGAAGGAGAGAGCUAUGUGGGACAGGCCCACCCACAGGCAUCCGUUCCUCUGUACUUAAUUCCCUCACACCCCGAGGAAGCACAGAAGGAAUGAGAACUGAAGUACAGAGAGUCCAAGAGGAGGCGAAAAUAGGACCCUGGAGAUAAACCAGGAGACAGAGAAAGAGGAACUUCUGAUGGUACAUGGCAGCUACCACAGUCAUUCUAAGCCAUGAAGGGCCACAGGAGGAGGCAGGUAGCCAGCCGUCUUUUUACUGCCUGCCUCUGGCUGAAGCUCGGCCCACACUAUCAGGACUCAGCCCUGUAGGGAUGACUCUGCCACACAGCUACAGGCUUCCCUGAGUCACUGCCCAGCCCUAGGACUGGCAACACCCUGGCCCUGCUCACCCAUCCACCCUUGGCAAGAGGGAAAGAGGAAGAAGCCUGCAGAGAGCUGGUGCCCUGCUUCCAGAUGCUGCUCCAUUCUCAGGCCAAGCCUCAAGAUGGGGGGAACCUGAGUGGGAGCCUCUCUCCUGGCUUGCGUUCCCUCCCACUUCUGGGAAAGCAGGGCAGUGACAGUCCCUGUUCUCAUGUGUCUGCCCUUGGCUGGGCUCCCCUCACCUCCCCAAAGACCAGGCAGGGUCCCAUUCAGCAGACCUGACUGUAAGGAAUUGGCAAGAAAUGACGUCCCUAGCCAGCCUGGCCUCCCCUUUGGUAUUUUUGCAGCUGGAGAUUAUUAGUCUCAAGCAAAACUCCUUUGUUAUCCAAGCCCACUCCACCACAUUAUUUUCCUCUCUCCUAAAGUUCAGCUUCCUCUGUUCCUCCCCACACCCCAUCCCCAACCACAGGCCACUACUCUAUAAAGCUGUGUUGAGAGACUUGGACAUACUGAGAAGGGAUAUCGUUCACCAUUGCCUAUCAGUCUCUGAGAUACGGGCCUUGGUCUUAUAGCCUGGGGUUCAGGUGGAGCCCUGGGCUUUUGCCUACAGGAACUGCAUAUUCCUGCUCCACAAACCUAGACUGGCUAUGGGCAUAACUGGCAUGACUGGAAAGCUGGGCCUGAUGACAAGAUUUAUAUGUAACGCCAGCACUUAAGAGGUGGGGGAAGAGGGUCAGGAGUUUAAGGCCAACCUUGACUACACACAGUGAGUUUCAAGGCCAGCUGGGGUGACUUGAAUUUUUGUCUCGAGGCUGGAGAGAUGGCUCAGUAGUUAAGAACACCUGCUGCUCUUCCAGGGGACCUGGGUGUAGCUCUUGGCACCUACAUCAGGUGGCUCACAAUUGCAUGUACCUCCAGCUCCAUGGCAUCUGCACACACACGAUGCACAUAAACUCACACAGGUGCGUGUAUAGGCACAUGAUUUUAAAAUGAACAAACAUAUCUAAAUCAAACAAACAACAAACAAAAUACAUCCGCCCAACCAAACUAAACCUAAAUAAAACAAUACAGCAAAACCCCUGAAGGGUAGAGGUUCCCUCCGUGCCCCCGCACUCCCAGGGCUGACUUGCCCUCCAGAGGAGCUCUGGUCAAAGGUUCUAAGCCCUAAAACAGGAGCAGCUCUGAUAAGCCCAAGGAGGAGGAAUGUGGUGGUGGUCUGGUGGUAGAGUGGCGGGGCCUCUAGCAGAGCGGGGGAGGGGUCUGAGAAGGAUAAAUGAGUCAAAAGGUUAAGACCACAGCCCGAUGGCGUCCUCAAAAAGGACUUUCAGUUCUAGGCCCUAGAAUAGACCUGGCGAGUGUUUACAAGUGCUGAGCUCUGCUUGCAGCCCCAGUCUCAUCAUGCUGCGCACACAUCCAUCUCCGGUCCUUCUCACCUUCUCCAUCAUCCACAUUGCUCAAGAGAAAUUUCUUAAGUAGUGGGCUGCUUUCCCAGAAACACAAGCAGACUCCCAAGAUCCUAGGUUCAGUUACAUGGUUCCGGUCACUUUCUGUAAACUCAGGAGAUCUGGGUGCAGGAAGGGAGUCUCUAUAUCUUUUUUUGUUUUGUUUUGUUUUGUUUUGUUUGUUUUGUUUUUUGUUUUGUUUUGUUUUGUUUUUGAGACAGGGUUUCUCUGUGUAGCCCUGGCUGUCCUGGAACUCGCUGUGUAGACCAGGCUGGCCCCUUGAACUCAGAAAUCUGCCCAGCACUGGGAUUAAAGGCGUGCGCCAUGACGACCGGCAAGUCUCUAGAUACAUCAACACACCCAAAGAUUGUAGAACACGCACCACGUCCCUUGAAGACGAAAGAACUCCAUUUCUACAUUAGCUACAUCCCCAGGGAACACACUUGGUUCUGGUCCUUAUUUCUUCCAUGCUACUUCCAAUGCUGUGCUCUGCCCUGGGUCCAGCUGGGUUCUGAGCACUGGUAAACCAUCAGUAAAUGGGAUGGUACAUUUGGGGCAUGUAGCCCAUGACCACUCCAUACGUGUCACCUCUUCCCGAACCCCAGUCUUUCCUACCUUCCCUUUCGACCUGUGACCUCCCGAGUUACGGUGGCCAACGGGGUGGGCGUGGGCACUGAAACUGGUGUUCUUAUUUCACACUGACUCUGUUGAGAGACUCUCCCCACAGAACGGAGCUUCCCUCAAUGGAAGGAGUUCCCCCUACAUGGAGGAACUUCCCCCUAUGGAAAGGAGCUUUGCCUGCACAAAGGAGCUCUCUGUGCUGGAACUUGACCGACUGAAAGGGGCCUCUCCGUGUUACAGGCUCCAGUGACCCCAGGAGCUCCUGGCGUUAUGAAUUCCACCUGACUGCAGAUGCCGCAGGUCAGGCAUUAUCUUUACAUUUCCUCCCCGGUGCCAGACGCACACUACGCACACGUAUUGAUUGGCUUAACAAAUAUUUACUGAAUACCGAAUCCUCCCUCUGUUGUCCUGGAGCCAGGGCAUCCUUCCCCCUUCUCUUCCCUGGCCUUGGAAUGCCGAGGACAUUGGCAGAGGACAGUUUGCAGUCCCACUGAGGGAUCUGGCUAGUGAGGCGAGCCUGGCAGGUUUGACUAAAUAACACGGCCUCGUGUUCCUGUUUGCUACCAAAUCCUGACUUCAGCUCUUGCUCAUUCUACCAGCAAGUCCAGAAGUUAUCAUAACUUCUUCCCUGACUACCCUUCCUGCCCCUGCUUAUACACCCAGCCAGAAUUCCCAUGGAUGAAAUCCUGGUUUCUGCUCUGCCUGACUUACGGUCUCUGCAUGAUUGAGAAAUUCUCACUGGGCUCUGAAAUGUCUGUCUUGCUUAAGUUACUUCCUCUGGAUUGAAAACAGGGAGGACAGAGCUGGGGUAGGCUGGCUUGGGAGGCAACUUCAAGGAGACAGCGGGGGAGGAGAGGACAAGGCUGGAUCUGGGCCCGGAGACACAGAGCUGGUGCGGGCCAGGAGGGGAGAAGCAAGAAAGUGGUGUUAGUGACUAGGAAACCGAAAGGGGAUGAGAAGCCAAAGAGCUAGGGUGCAGGGGUCCUGGGCCAGCGGAUAGAACGGCCAGUCCUCCACAGUAUCAGGACACCCCGUGGGAGUCAGAAAGGCGAAAGGAGGGAGGUGCCUUUCGUGUGUGAACUCUGGAACAGUUCCGUUUGGGUGUUUUGUGUAGUUUUCUUGUUCGGAUAGAGUACCGCCGUGUAACUCAGGCUGGCCUGGAGUGGACUAACAGUCUUGCUACCUCUGCCUCCCAUGUUGGGGCUGCAGGGAUGAGCCACGAAGCUCGGCUUCUGAAGUGUUCUAUACACAGCAUGAGGCAGAGAAAGGGGAAAGGACACACACACCCCCACACCCCUUUCAGUUGAUCGCAGACACAGAGGGUCUUCUAUUUGCCUGCCCUCUAGAAAAAGCACCACCCUAUUUCCUGUUGAGAUUUUUAAAACACAUCUACUCACUCCACCUCCCAAAAAGGUGGAGAGGAGGGAAGAGAAGCAAAGUUGGUCAACUGGGCUUGGAUGGAGACUUGUUUUGCAACCCUGGUGCCUGCAACAGACAGUCCUUUUUCUAGGUCUUCCUAGCCCAGGCAGGACGUCCCAAGAAGGAAACCCCUGACACCUGUAAACCCCUCCAGACUCCCCCGUCUCAUACAGCACAACGCAAAACAACUUCGUUAAGUGGCAUUUCCUUCCAGGCCUCUGUUUGCAGUGUCACCUUCCCAAAGCCUCAUCCUCCUUAGAAUGGCCACAUCCUCAGGCAAGGAAUGGGGACACGCCAGAGCCCUUCAGCUGAGGAAAGGAAGGGUGGGGUGAGCAGACUGAACCAUCUGUCCUGCUCGGAGCACUUAAGGGGUUAAAUGGGAGGGCCAUUUCUGGGCUCUGGGAAUAUCAGGCCUGUUGACCCUCUUGGGAUUUAGUUUCAGAACUUUAGUCUUGUGUGAAUCACUUUCAAAAUAUUUAUGUCUAUGUGUACACAGUUUAUGGUAUCAUUUAUUUACAAUUUUAUAUACCACAGAUGAAAAGCUGGUCAUGGUGGCUUACACCUACGAUCUUGACACCUGGAAGGCUGCUGAUGGAAGAGGACUACUGUGAGCUUGAGGCUAGCCUGGGCUAUAGAGUUUUAAAAAAAUUAACUAAUUAGGGAUGGAGAGGCGGUUCAGUCAGCAAAGUGUUAGGGCAUCGGUGCCAGAGGACCCGUGUUCUAUUCCCAUCAUCCACUUUAAAAAGCGAGUCGUUGCUAGACACGGUGGCGGCACACGCCUUUUUAAGCAGAGGCAGGCAGAUCUCUGUGAGUUCCAGGCCAACCAAGGCCAUACAGCAAAACUUUGUCUCUAAAAUAUAUUUAAAAGGUGAACCCAGUAGUGCAUUCUUGUAAUUCCAGUACCAGAGAGGCAGAAACAGGAGGAUACUGGGGUACUGCUGGUCAACCAGUCUACCUCAGUUGGCAAGCUCCAGGUUUAGUGAGACCUUAUCUCAAAAACUAAGGCAAGAGGGCAGGGGCGAAAGAAGGGAUCAGUGAUUCAGACACUUGCUAAUUUGCAGUAACUACACCCAGAGGGUGGUUCACAGCUAUCUAACUCCACUUCUGAGGGAUCUGCUACCCUUUUCUGGCCUCCUUGGGCACUAGGCAUGCAUAGAUACAUACAUGCAGGCAAAACAUUCAUACAUAUGUAAUAACAAUUUAAAAAUAAGGCAGAAGGGUAUGGAGGAAGACACCUGAUAUUGACUCCUGGAUUUUGCACGAAUGUGUACACACACGCCAUCUACACACAAGUACACACACAUAACGUGCACCAAGAAAACUAAUAAUGCAAUCAUAGUAUAGGAAAUUUCUAAUGAGACUAUCAGGUAAGAACAUAACCGCAAAGCUGAACUUUACAACUGGGGACUCAAGGCAGGAGGGAGCAGAAGUUGAAGGCCAGCCUUGGCUGUGUAACAAGUUAGAGGUCAACUUGGGCCGCACAGGAUCCUGCCUUAAAAAUACAAAACAAAUCCUGUUAAGAGGGCUGGUGAGUUGGCUCAGUGGGGAAACUGCUAAGCCUGAUUCCCUGAAUUAAACCCCCAGGACCCAAGCAGUGAAGGGCUCUCAUAUGUUGUCUUCUGGUUUCCACAUGCGCACCAUGAUUCAUGUGUGCACGAAUACACACACACACACAAACACACAGAGAGUAAAGAAGUUAAUAAAAUAUAAAAAAAUUAAUAACCUUUAGCAACACUUUUUUUAAACUUGUACAUGCUGAAAUGAACACUACGUCUCUGGAGAAGGGAUGACGCUUAAAAAGAGAGAAAGUACUUAUUUCCUUAUUAUUUUUCUUGAGUAAGGAUCUUGGUGUACUUUGAUGUGGGCUCUAGUGACUUCUCUGUCCUCACCUUCAACCCCAUGAGUCUCUUUUCCCUUUUCAGUCCUGGAGAUGGAACACAGCCUGCCAUGAGCCACUCUCCCAGCUCACUCCCCUUUCUUUUCUGGCCUCACCCGUUCAGGUCUCCCAGUUCAUUAGGCAGAAGAGAAGGUGGGUCUGGGCUGUAGCUGAGGUGGGAGAAGAAGACAGGCACACCAAUCUAGGCCAGUGUGGCCACGCAUGGGGCUAUGGAAUUAGCAGACUGUGCUGUCUGAGGGAGGAGGUAAUGGGCCUUGUGUGGGUGUGUGGGUGGCUGGGGAGCUCACAGGGCUCUCAGGAUGCCGAGCAGACCGGUCCCCAUGCUUCAGGACCCAUGUGAACAGGGCCCCCUUCCCAGCUUCCUUCCUUCUUUACAUUUAUUUCUGUUUGCAGAGGUCUCUCUGAGGCAGGCUUCCCCCAUCUCCCCGCACCAGUCGGAUGUCCUCACUGGCUCCCCUCUUCUCAGUCAUAAGAUACACACCCCAACCUUCUGACAACCUCCUGACCCCCUCCCCACCCUCUUCCCUACCGACUUAGGUAUGUUCCCAGGGGUCUCACAGAGGUCCCAGUCAUGGGGAAGGUUGGGAGGAUCUGGCUGCAGGAUGGAAGGCAGAAGGCAGUGGAUUUUUCCUUCAUUCUCCAGAGAACUAACUAUAGAACAGCAGCCCCUGUGCAGCACGAGAGGGGAUCUGCACCCAGCCAUGCGUGAGUCCAGCCUGUGACACCCUUCCUCACGCUUAGACAGCAAAGUUGCCUCGGAAGAGAAGAGAAGCCUGCAUGGGAAUGGCCAGCACAUCCUAAAUGCUCCAGUGGCCCGUGGUUCGUCCCUUCGUCUCAUUGACUGCCACAGACAGGAAGUAGGCUCAGGGACUUGGCACCUACCCAACAGCAGGACGUCCUUUCUGGCCAUACUCCUGAGGGUAACAAAAUCACAUGGAAGCCCAAAGCAAGCCAGGCUCAGGCUCCUCUGCCCUCUGCUACUUAACAAUGUCCGUCCUUCCCCAGCCCCCCUGCAGAUGCUUCUGUAUGGGAAAGCCCCUCUGCAUCUAAUGACACUCUGCUUUCAAAGACGGGACAGUCCCUGGUCUCUGGAGAGUGACCAUUCGUGGCCUUCUCAGUUGACACUUCUCCGCUGAGGCAUCCCUUAGCCCUGAACCAGAAAUGAAAGAGCCGGCUCAGAGUGAAAAGGAAGAAUAGCCAUCAAUCUGCUCCUGUGUGCAAGGAGCACAGACCUGGUCUCAGACUCUGCCCGUCUCCCCCGCUUCCCUGCCCUCUGAGUGACUCACGGUGCAGGCUGAGGGAGAUGUUGAUGGUAUGCUCAUCCACAAAGCCCUUCAGGCCAGGCAUCCGGGCACACUUGAGCUGUGUCUGGGCAGCACUGUCCCCAACGUGCACCCAGCAUACGGUCUCAUUGGCAUAACUGAAGUCCAUGGCCGUGGUUUGUCGGGUGCUGGUGGGUGUGAUGGUAGACACUUGGGCCCCACUCAGGUACGUAGCUAGGAUGUUCUGAGAGUUGGCAAUCAGUAGCACUGGCGGCCGAUCUACUGGCUCUGGGGAUGGGACAGAGAAAGGGCAGUUGGGACUUGUAACCGUUGAGGCGACUAUUCACUGGGGAGCCGCAUUGCAGGUCCCCGGCUCUGUGGUCACUGGCAGACCCACUCACCAUUCUUGGCCUUGCAGGAGCGGUUGUCCGGUUGCAGCAGGUAGCCUUCAACACAGCCACAUGUGAAGGAGCCAUCUGUGUUGGUGCAAAGCUGGCUGCAGGUGCCAUACACGGAACACUCGUCAAAAUCUGCCCAGAGAGAAAAGGAAGAGGAGAUGUUCAUUCUAGUGUAGCACAGGUGCCCCGAGACACCAGCAGACAACUGGCGGAAUCGAUUACAGUUCAGAAGGUGCAAACCCACUGCCCGGCAAACAGUUUUGGGAUUUUCUGGGUCAUGCGCACUGACAGUGAUUUGGAAAACAUUUCUUGGAUAACAGAUGGGGCAGGUAGAGAAUACAAUGAUGAAUUUGAAAA